rnacentral:rRNA from 1 species
GAUGAACGCUGGCGGCGUGGAUUAGGCAUGCAAGUCGAACGGUAUCAUCCUUUCGGGGGUGAGAGAGUGGCGAACUGGUGAGUAACACGUAGGUUAUCUACCCUCAAGACGGGGACAACCCAGGGAAACUUGGGCUAAUACCGGAUGUGAGCAACUUUUAGUUGUUUGAAAGGUGGCGUAAGCUGUCGCUUGGGGAUGAGCCUGCGUCCUAUUAGUUAGUUGGUGAGGUAACGGCUCACCUAGGCAAUGAUAGGUAGGCGGCCUUAACGGGUGGUCGCCCACACUGGGAUUGAGAUACGGCCCAGACUCCUACGGGAGGCAGCAGUCGAGAAUAGUCUACAAUGGUCGGAAGACUGAUAGUGCGACGCCGCGUGAACGAUGAAUCCCUUCGGGUGUAAAGUUCUUUUAUAUGUGAGCAGUGCUUCUUAUAUUAACAGUAUGGGGAGAGAGAUAUUAGCAUAUGAAUAAGCAACGGCUAACUCCGUGCCAGCAGCCGCGGUAAA